rnacentral:rRNA from 1 species
GAUGAACGCUGGCGGCGUGCUUAACACAUGCAAGUCGAACGGAAAGGCUCCUGCUUGCAGGGGUACUCGAGUGGCGAACGGGUGAGUAACACGUGGGUGAUCUGCCCUGCACUUCGGGAUAAGCCUGGGAAACUGGGUCUAAUACCGGAUAGGACCACAUUUUGGAUGGUGUGGUGGAAAGUUUUUCGGUGUGGGAUGAGCUCGCGGCCUAUCAGCUUGUUGGUGGGUAAUGGCCUACCAAGGCGUCGACGGGUAGCCGGCCUGAGAGGGUGUACGGCCACAUUGGGACUGAGAUACGGCCCAGACUCCUACGGGAGGCAGCAGUGGGGAAUAUUGCACAAUGGGCGCAAGCCUGAUGCAGCGACGCCGCGUGGGGGAUGACGGCCUUCGGGUUGUAAACUCCUUUCGCUAGGGACGAAGCGUUUUUGUGACGGUACCUGGAGAAGAAGCACCGGCUAACUACGUG